UUACGCCCAUAUCACGUUAAAACACCAGUUCUCAUAUAGUCACUGAAGUUAAGCAAUGUCGAGACUUGUCAGUACCUAGAUGAGUGAUCGCUUGGAACUACUAGGUGCUGUAA
rnacentral:rRNA from 1 species